rnacentral:rRNA from 1 species
UACGUAGGCAGCGAGCGUUGUUCGGAGUUACUGGGCGUAAAGGGCGCGUAGGCGGCUUGGCAAGUGGAUGGUGAAAUCCCUCGGCUUAACCGAGGAACUGCCGUCCAAACUGCUUAGCUUGAGACCGGGAGAGGUGAGUGGAAUUCCCAGUGUAGCGGUGAAAUGCGUAGAUAUUGGGAGGAACACCAGUGGCGAAGGCGGCUCACUGGACCGGUACUGACGCUGAGGCGCGAAAGCGUGGGGAGCAAACAGG